CGACCUCAAAUCAGAUGUGGUGACCCGCCAAAUUUAAGCAUAUUACUAAGCGGAGGAAAAGAAACUAACCAGGAUUGCCUCAGUAAUGGUGAGUGAAGAGGGAAGAGCCCAGCGCCGAAUCCCCACCCGGUCGACAGGCGCAGGGAAAUGUGGCAUACAGAAGUCCAUCUCCCCGGCACUGCCCAGGGGGCCCAAGUCCUUGUGAUCAAGACUCUGCCCACGGACGAUGUGAAGCCAGUGGCGGCCCCCGGUGUGUCGGGAUCAGCUCUUCCUGUAGUUGGGUUGUUUGAGAAUGCAGCCCAAAGUAGAUGGUACACUCCAUCUAAGGCUAAACACCAGCAGGAGACCAACAGCGGACAAGUACUGUAAGGGAAAGUUGAAAACACCUUUGAAGAGAGAGUUCAAGAGGGCGUGAAACCAUUCAGAGGUAAACGGGUGAGGUCUGCGAGGUCCGACCGGAGGAUUAAACUUAACGGCCGCGCCAGCUGCCUGGGCGAGGUGGAUCACCCUCCCCUUCCAGGAGGGUGGGGGACAGUCCCCAGGCAUGCCGGCCAUUGUUGGGCACAAUUCCUCCAUGGCAGUGCACCAUGACUGGCUGUGGGUCAGCCGGGAAGGCUACACAGAAGAUGACUCCCCUCCCCAGAGGGGAGUGUUACAGCCCACGCCAUCAGCCCUCACCAUGUCCAAGGGUCAUGGGAGAUGACUGCCACUGCACCCACCCCAGCUCUUGUGGUGGGGGCCCCCGGCUCCUGGCAGGACUGUUGACUGGGCCGGACUGCCAUCAGGUGCCCAGGGUCUGCAGCGACGUUGGUGACCCACCCAUCCCGUCUUGAAACAUGGACCAAGGAGUCUAACAGGUGCACGAUUCUGAGGGUGGGAAGAAGACCCCACUGCGCAAUAAAAGUGAGGACUGGCAUGCACCAGCUGAGACGAGAUCCCCUCGCCCUGCUCGGGGAGUGCACCAUCAGCCUGUCUCACCCAUCCUAUCAAGGAGGUGGAGAGUGAGCGCACCUGGUGAGACCCGAAAGUUGGUGAACUAUGCCUGGGCAGGGCAAAGCCAGAGGAAACUCUGGCUGAGGUCUGUAGUGGUCCUGACAUGCAAAUCAGUCAACCGACCUGGGUAAAUGGGUUUAAGACUAAUCGAACCAUCUAGUAGCUAGUUCCCUAUGAAGUUUCCCUCAGGAUAGCUGGUGCUCGGCGGACGCAGUUUUAUCUGGUAAAGCGAAUGAUUAGAGAUCUUUGGGCUGAAACAAUCUCAACCUAUUUUCAAACUUUAAAUGGGUAAGAAGUCUGAAUCACUGGUUUGGAGCCAGGCGUGGAAUGCGAGCACCCAGUGGGCCACUUUUGGUAAGCAGAACUCACGCUGUGGGAUGACCUGAACGCUGGGUUAAGGCACCUGAUGCUGAUGCUCAUCAGACCCCAGAAAAGAUGUUGGUUGAUAUAGACAGUAGUAUGGUGGCCAUGGAAGUUGGAAUCCACUAAAGAGUGUAUAACAGCUCACCUGCUGAAUCAACUAGCCCUGAAAAUGGAUGGUGCUGGAGAGUCAGGCUCAUACCCAGCUGUCGUCAGUGCUGGGAGCCAAGGAGGCUAUACCACAAUGAGUAAGAGAGCUGCCGCGGUGGCACUGAAGCCCAUGAUGAGAGCAUGGGUGAAGCCGCCGCAGGUGCAGAUAUUGGUGGUAGUAGCAAAUGCUCAAACAAGAGCUUUGAAGUCCGAAGUGGAGAAGGGUUCCAUGUGAACAGUAGUUGAACAUCGGUCAGUCAGUCCUGAAAGAAAAGCGAGUGCCAUUCUGAAGGGAUGGGCAAUGGCCUCCGUUGCCCUCGGCCGAUCAAAAGGGAGUCGGGUUCAGAUCCCUGAAUACGGAGCGGCGGAGACUGGCACCUCACGGCAUCUAGUGGAGUGAUGCAAAUGAUCCUGGAGAAGCCGGCAGGGGCCCCUGGGAGAUUUCUCUUUUCUUUGUAAAGGGCAGGAUGCCCUGGAAUGGGUUCUUCUCGAGAGAUGGGCCCACACCCUGGAAAGCGUCAUGGUUCUGGCAGCGUCAGGUGAGCUCUCGCCGGCCCUUGAAAAUCCGGGGGAGAGGGUGUAAGUCUCGUGCUGGGCCGUAACCAUAUCCACAGCAGGUCUCCAAGGUGAACAGCCUCUGGCAUGUUAGGACAGUGUAGGUAAGGGAAGUUGGCAAGCCAGAUCUGUGACUUCGGGAUAAGGAUUGGCUCUAAGUGCUGGGUCAGUCAGGCUCAGGUGUAAUGUGGGGCUGGUCCGCGCCACAGCUGGAUGAGGCGUCACCCCCUUGCCAUGCUCCCCCCUCUUGGGGGGGCCAGGGGGGUGGCUGUGGUGACUCUGAAUGUGUGCCAGCCACUUCCUGUGGAUUGCCCCGGCUGUGGUGGGUGCCAGUCCCAACUGGCAUUCCCCAUCGUCUGGCAGCUAGCAGCUGACUUAGAACUGGUGUGGACCGGGGGAAUCUGACUGUUUAAUUAAAACAAAGCAUCGUGAAGGCCUGAGA